ensembl:lncRNA
GGCUAUGGGGAUUUUAUGGCGGGUUCUAUGGGGGGUCUAAUGGGGUUUCUAUGGGGUUCUCUGUGGGGUAUCUCUGGGGCUUAUAGGGUCUCUAAUGGGGAUCUAGGGGUCCUAUGGGGGUUAUGGGCUAAAUAUGGGUAAUCGUAUGGUGUCUAUGGGGGUCUAUGGGGUCUAGUGUGGUCUCUAUGUGGAUCUAUGGUUGUCUAAGGGUUAUAUGGGGUCUAUGGGUUCUCUGGAGUCUAUGGGAUUCUAUGUAACUGCAGCAAGGAGCAUUGCAGCAUCCUCUGCUUGCAGCCAUAAGGAGCAUUGCAGCAUCCUCUGCUUGCAGCCAUAACUGCAGCAAGGAGCAUUGCAGCAUCCUCUGCUUGCAGCCAGAACUGCAGCAAGGAGCAUUGCAGCAUCGUCUGCUUGCAGCCAUAACUGCAGCAAGGAGCAUUGCAGCAUCCUCUGCUUGCAGACAACAAGGAGCAUUGCAGCAUCCUCUGCUUGCAGCCAUAACUGCAGCAAGGAGCAUUGCAGCAUCGUCUGCUUGCAGCCAUAACUGCAGCAUGGAGCAUUGCAGCAUCCUCUGCUUGCAGCCAUAACUGCAGCAAGGAGCAUUGCAGCAUCCUCUGCUUGCAGCCAUAACUGCAGCAAGGAGCAUUGCAGCAUCCUCUGCUUGCAGCCAUCCUUUAGUGCAGUCUAUGGGGUCUAUGGGGGGGUAAUGGGGUCUAUGGGGUCUCUAUCGGGAUCUAUGAGGUCUCUACGGGGAUCUAUGGGGUCUAUGGGGGUCUAUGGGGUCUGUGGGGCUCUAUGAGGAUCUAUGAGGUCUCUAAGGGCAUCUAUGGAGUCUAUGGGGUCUAUGGGAUCUAUGGGGUCUAUGGGAUCUAUGGGGGUCUAUGGGGAUCUGUGGGGUCUAUGGGGUCUCUAUGGGGAUCUAUGCGAUCUCUAUGGGGAUCUAUGGUGUCUAUGGGGGUCUAAUGGGGUCUAUGGGGAUCUAUGGGGAUCUGUGGGGUCUAUGGGGAUCUAUGCGGUCUCUAUGGGGAUCUAUGGUGUCUAUGGGGUCUCUAUGGGGGUCUAUGGGGAUCUAUAGGGGGUCUAUGAGGUAUAUGGGGGUCUAUGUGGUUUAUGUGGUCUAUGAGGGUCUAUGGGGGGGUAAGGGGGUCUAUGGGGGCCUGUGGGGGUCUAUGGGGUCUGUGGGGUCUAUGGGGAUCUAUGGGGUCUAUGGGGGUCUAUGGGGUCUGUAUGCAUCUAUGGGUUCUAUUGGUCUCUAUGGGGAUCUAUGGGGUCUCUAUGGGGAUCUAUGGAGUCUAUAUGGGUAUCUAUGGUGUCCAUGGAGUCUAUGGGGUCUCUAUGUGGAUCUAUGGGGUCUAUGGGGUCUAUGGGUUAUAUGGGGUCUCUAUGGGGUCUCUAUGNNNNNNNNNNNNNNNNNNNNNNNNNUCUAUGGUGUCUAUGGGUUAUAUGGGGGUCUAUGGGGUCUAUGGGGAUCUAUGGGGGUCUCUAUGGGGGUCUAUGGGGUCUAUGGGGGUCUCUGUGGGGUCUCUAUGGGGAUCUAUAGGGUCUCUAUGUGGAUCUAUGGGGUCUCUAUGGGGGUCUAUGGAGUCUAUAUGGGUAUCUAUGGUGUCUAUGGGGGUCUAUGGAGUCUAUGGGGUCUCUAUGUGGAUCUAUGGGGUCUAUGGGUUAUAUGGGGGUCUAUGGGUCUCUAUGGAGUCUAUGGGAUCUCUAUGGGGAUCUAUGGGGUCUCUAUGGGGCUCUAUGGAGUCUAUAUGGGUAUCUAUGGUGUCUAUGGAGUCUAUGGGGUCUCUAUGUGGAUCUAUGGGGUCUAUGGGUUAUAUGGGGAUCUAUGGGGUCUAUGGGGGUCUAUGGUGUCUAUGGGGGUCAAUGGAGUCUAUGGG